GAUCGUCAGAGACACCAUUUUGAGUGGCUGCUUUCCUGAUCGCUCUCCUGCCCUUCCCAUUUCGAGGCUUCUCCAGGCACCAAGCUCCCUGUCAACUGCCAACGGUCUCCAGCGAGUGGCCGCCAUCUUCGCCGCUGGUGGCACCGUAGCCUUAGCGCAGGCCCUUUGAGGCACUGGCUGGUGUCAUGUCUGCCUCAGGGAAUGAGGACCCGACCCCAAAUGACCCGGAUAGCCCGCGCAUCUACUAUAAGAACCACGUCCUGAUCCACCCCUACUGGAACGCCCUCAUGCUGCAGCCCCGCCCUCCCCGCUCCGCCUCCCACCUCGGCCCCGGCCCAGACCCUGACCCCGGCCCCAGCGAGCUGCCGGUGCUCCACAUGCUCCCCUGGCCCAGGGGCGUGGCGCCGCGCCAGGACGAGGGCCAGGACGAGGACGAGGGCCAACCAGAGGCGGUGGUCUCCAUCCCCGACCUCGAGGAGGGCGACCCCACCGCUGUGCUGGCCUUGACCUCAGAGGAACCAUUGAAGGAGACAGCAAAGAGCAGAGAGCAGAUGGCGGACUCCAAGGGUAAAGAAUGGAUGGAAGCAGUAAGUGAAAAUCUGUUGGAAAACCGGAGAGAUGAUGACGAAGAUGUUGGAGGUGAGGAAGAGAAAGAAGCAAAGGAAGAAAGUGAAAAGGAAAACAAAAAUCAACAAGAACCUGAAAAGGACCCAGACCCAGCAGGUGGUAGCCUGGGAAAAGCCAGAAAUGCAGUCUUCCUGUACUAACCAGGAGCCCCAGUGUCUUUUAGGAUAUGACUACUGACAGCAAAAGUACUUCAGAAGACUAGAAAGAAAAGGAUGAAGAAAGAAUCCGACGUGUCACUCUUUUUCGGUUUUUCAGUGUUUAGCUCAAGGGAAUCUCAUUAACUUCAGCAUUAACUUCAUUCCAAAGUUUAUCAUCCCAAUAUGAUGCCUGACUUUUCUCUUUAUGUGUUACAGAUUCACUGAUAGGAUUUGUUCAAGUUAAAAAUAAGUUUGUUUUAAAUGGCAAAGUGGAACUAUAGGCAGAUCUUUUUGAAAAUAACAUUCAAAUCCGUUUUACCUUUUCUAUCUUCAUUUGAAAUGAAUAACUUUCCAACACUUGGUAAACUUAUUUUAAAUUCUUUUAUUGCAGCAUAGUUAAUUAGAGUGUGAAGUUUAAAUUUUUUUCUAAGGAGAGAGAUGGAUGUCAAGCCUUUCUUUAAAACUAAAUUAUAUGUCAUUUAGCCAUGUAUGGCUACUGAGCAUGUAAAAUGUGACUAGUCUGAUUUGAAAUAUGCUGUGUGAAAAACUAUCUUAAUAACUAAUUGCAUAUUGAUAAUAGGUUAAAUAAAAUGCAGUAUAAA
ensembl:lncRNA